UACUUUAAAAACACACACAUGCACAGCUUCUUGAAGCCAUAUGGAGAUUUUAUUCAUGCAAAUAGAGGCUUGGUUUUCUCCUAGUUUCCCACAAGGCACUCGGCAGCAUUGGGAAGAUCUUCGCCCCUCAAUGGGACCUAUCAGGAUGGACUGCUGCUCGCCUUGGCUUUGAGGUCAUAUGCUAAAUGACAGGGCUGAGACCUCUCCACAGCACAUCUGAUAUUGGGAUCGAUGAAGAUCAGAUGUGCAAAUCACAAUGGGCUCCGGAAAGCCCUAGACUGUGUCAUUCAAGGAAGCUGUGACUCAGCCUGAAGGAUUUCUGUGGUCAAUGGAACGUGCCCAGCUCAUGUGUAGAGCAGGAGGAAGUGCUCCUGCUCCAGAAUUCCCCAGAAACAAAGCAACCUUCAAGCAAUGACAUCUGAAAGUUGAAGGACAGAUACUUCAGCUCUGUCAGUAUGUUGUAUGGGACAACUCAGUCCCUACAUAGUCUAAGGGGUCCAGCAUGAUUAAUCUCCUACAGCAAUAAAUAACCUGCUAAUAGA